UACGUAGGGUGCGAGCGUUGUCCGGAAUUAUUGGGCGUAAAGAGCUCGUAGGCGGUGUGUCGCGUCGGUCGUGAAAACUUGGGGCUUAACUCUGAGCUUGCGGUCGAUACGGGCAUCACUGGAGUUCGGCAGGGGAGACUGGAAUUCCUGGUGUAGCGGUGAAAUGCGCAGAUAUCAGGAGGAACACCAGCGGCGAAGGCGGCGCUCUGGGCCGGAACUGACGCUGAGGAGCGAAAGCGUGGGUAGCAAACAGG
rnacentral:rRNA from 1 species